rnacentral:rRNA from 1 species
AUUGAACGCUGGCGGCAUGCUUUACACAUGCCAGUCGAACGGCAGCGCGGGCUUCGGCCUGGCGGCGAGUGGCGAACGGGUGAGUAAUACAUCGGAACGUGCCCAGUAGUGGGGGAUAGCUCGGCGAAAGCCGGAUUAAUACCGCAUACGACCUGAGGGUGAGAGCGGGGGAUCUUCGGACCUCGCGCUAUUGGAGCGGCCGAUGGCAGAUUAGCUAGUUGGUGGGGUAAAGGCCUACCAAGGCGACGAUCUGUAGCUGGUCUGAGAGGACGACCAGCCACACUGGGACUGAGACACGGCCCAGACUCCUACGGGAGGCAGCAGUGGGGAAUUUUGGACAAUGGGCGAAAGCCUGAUCCAGCAAUGCCGCGUGUGUGAUGAAGGCCUUCGGGUUGUAAAGCACUUUUGGCGGGAACGAAAAGGACUGUGCCAAUACCACGGUUCGAUGACGGUACCCGCAGAAUAAGCACCGGCUAACUACGUG